UUUUUUUAACAAAAGAGGAAAGAGAAAACAAGAGAAAACAAAACUUAAGUCUUGGAAAAAACCCUAAAAAGCAUAUAUAGUGUCUCUUGCGGACCGGGUCAGCCCAGGACAAACUGGGUCCUGACCCGGCCUUGAUGGAUAGUGGUGUGGUUUGCCACGGUCAGAUGAUGCUUGGACAGACCGUGGAAAACUGACCGUGGCAAACUGAUAGUGUCAAAGUUCUU
rnacentral:lncRNA from 1 species